UGGGGAAUUUUCCGCAAUGGGCGCAAGCCUGACGGAGCAAUACCGCGUGAGGGAGGAAGGCUUUUGGGUUGUAAACCUCUUUUAAUAAGGAAGAAGAAAGUGACGGUACUUAUUGAAUAAGCAUCGGCUAACUCCGUGCCAGCAGCCGCGGUAAUACGGAGGAUGCAAGCGUUAUCCGGAAUCAUUGGGCGUAAAGCGUCCGCAGGUGGCCCAUCAAGUCUGCUGUCAAAGACAGAAGCUCAACUUCUGGUCGGCAGUGGAAACUGGUGAGCUAGGGUACGGUAGGGGUUGAGGGAAUUCCCAGUGUAGCGGUGAAAUGCGUAGAUAUUGGGAAGAACACCAGUGGCGAAGGCGCUCAACUGGGCCGUAACUGACACUCAGGGACGAAAGCUAGGGUAGCGAAAGGGAUUAGAUACCCCGGUAGUCC
rnacentral:rRNA from 1 species